rnacentral:rRNA from 1 species
UGCGCUUAUCAAGAUGAGCCUAGGUCGGGAUUAGCUAGUUUGGUGAAGGUAAUGGCUCACCAAGGCGACGAUCCGUAACUUGGUCUGAGAGGAUGAUCAAGUCACACCUGGAACUGAGACACGGUCCAAGACUCCUACGGGAGGCAGCAGUGGGGAAUAUUGGACAAUGGGCGAAAGCCUUGAUCCAGCCAUGCCGCGUGUGUGAAGAAGGUCUUCGGAUUGUAAAGCACUUUAAGUUGGGAGGAAGGGCAGUUACCUAAUACGUAAUUGUUUUGACGUUACCGACAGAAUAAGCACCGGCUAACUCUGUGCCAGCAGCCGCGGUAAUACAGAGGGUGCAAGCGUUAAUCGGAAUUACUGGGCGUAAAGCGCGCGUAGGUGGUUUGUUAAGUUGAAUGUGAAAUCCCCGGGCUCAACCUGGGAACUGCAUCCAAAACUGGCAAGCUAGAGUAUGGUAGAGGGUGGUGGAAUUUCCUGUGUAGCGGUGAAAUGCGUAGAUAUAGGAAGGAA